rnacentral:rRNA from 1 species
UACGAAGGGAGCUAGCGUUGUUCGGAAUUACUGGGCGUAAAGCGUACGUAGGCGGCUUUGUAAGUUAGAGGUGAAAGCCCGGGGCUCAACUCCGGAAUUGCCUUUAAGACUGCAUCGCUUGAAUCAUGGAGAGGUGAGUGGAAUUCCGAGUGUAGAGGUGAAAUUCGUAGAUAUUCGGAAGAACACCAGUGGCGAAGGCGACUCACUGGACAUGUAUUGACGCUGAGGUACGAAAGCGUGGGGAGCAAACAGG